AGAGGCAUGUGCUGGGAUGGCAUGCCAAGGCGUGUGCUGGGAUGGCAUGCCUUGGUGUGUGCUGGGAUGGCAUGCCAAGGACAAGCAUGUGCUAGGAAAGCAUGCCAAGGCCAAGGCAAGCACAUGCAUUGUGAGCGAGAUGAGACGGUUAUGAUUACCCCAAGAGUGCCCAAGGGAGAGGAAACAGGUGUCAAACGCAUGCUGAGCCCCACUUCGGUAGUUUGGCACCCCCAUAGGCAUUUAGGCAAGCGUGUCUAUGGGAAAAGUCUGUUGAGCUUGUCAGCCAUGUUGGGUAUUAUUGUCUGGAGGAGAUGAUGGCACAAGGAUGCUGGCUUUAAGGUAACGUUCCGGCAGCACAGCCAGCCCGCAAUUGCUAGUUCAAGCGGGUGGAAUCUGCCUAUAGGGGCGUUGCUUGCUCGCUGUGGAAUUGGGCACGCCCAAUAUGUAUCAUUGACUGACGACGUAGUUCUUGCAUGGCCCCAUGGGCAUUUAGGCUAGCGUGUCUAUGGGAAAAGUUGGUUGAGCUUGUCAGCCAUGUUGGGUAUUAUUGUCUGGAGGAGAUGAUGGCACAAGGAUGCUGGCUUUAAGGUAACGUUCUGGCAGCACAGCCAGCCCGCAAUUGCUAGUUCAAGCGGGUGGAAUCUGCCUAUAGGGGCGUUGCUUGCUCGCUGUGGAAUUGGGCACGCCCAAUAUGUAUCAUCAACUGACGACGUAGUUCCUGCAUGGCCCCAUAGGUAUUCAGGCAAGCGUGCCUAUGGGUAAAGUCGCUUGAGCUUGUCAGCCAUGUUGGGUAUUAUUGUCUGGACGAGAUGAUGGCACAAGGAUGCUUGCUUUAAGGUAACGUUCCGGCAGCACAGCCAGCCCGCAAUUGCUAGUUCAAGCGGGUGGAAUCUGCCUAUAGGGUGUUGCUUGCUUGCUGUGGAUUUGGGACACGCCCAAUAUCUAUCAUCGACCGACGUAGUUCCUGCAUGGCCCCAUAGGUAUUCAGGCAAGCGUGCCUAUGGGUAAAGUCGCUAGAGCUUGUCAGCCAUGUUGGUUAUUAUUGUCUGGACGAGAUGAUGGCACAAGGAUGCUUGCUUUAAGGUACCGUUCCGCCAGCACAGCCAGCCCGCAAUUGCUAGUUCAAGCGGGUGGAAUCUGCCUAUAGGGGUGUUGCUUGCUUGCUGUGGAUUUGGGACACGCCCAAUAUCUAUCAUCGACCGACGUAGUUCUUGCAUGGCCCCAUAGGUAUUCAGGCAAGCGUGCCUAUGGGUAAAGUCGCUUGAGCUUGCCAACACCCAUGUUAGCUGUAGUCUGGACCGAUGAUGGCACAAGGAUGCUUGCUUUAAGGUAACAUUCCGGCAGCACAGCCAGCUCUCAAUUGCUAGUUCAAGCGGGUGGAAUCUGCCUAUAGGGGUGUUGCUUGCUUGCUGUGGAUUUGGGACACGCCCAAUAUCUAUCAUCGACCCAACGAAGUGCUCAACAUGGGUUGCUGAGGACUAUUUUGGCACUGAUGGUUCACUUGUUUGCUUGGCUUUGAUAAACGUUUAGAUGUCAUGAUGCUUGGGAUCCAAUAAAUUUAUGUGGGAAGCUGAGAGCUGGAACCCAAUGUCAUUCACCAGACGGCUUAGUUUUGUCAGUGUGUAUAAUAUGUCAUUGAACCCCAAUCCUCGAUGCCAACCUGAUUAUGACUUUUGGAUUGCAAUUAUCAUGGCUAUCGAAAACUGAGUAGGAGUCAUGGAAUAAGUGAACAAUUUGUAGCCUUUAUAGUUGUCAGCUUUCGCAUCGCCCGGUGUGUUUUGGGAAUCGCUUUGUGCAUUUGGUUGCCUUCCGUGCCUCUUGGCAUACGUUGGGUACCACUUGCCGGGUGGUUUUCGGAAACAUCCACCGUAAAGGUGCAUGAGUGGUGUUUGGUUUGUUACGGGUGGUUGGCUCUUUGCUUGCGCAACAACUGCCACCUGACUUACCUCUUCAGAUGUUUGCCUAGGCUUGUAUAGCCUAAGCAGAUUGUGGGUUUCCUGUGUUGCAUACCUAAGUCAAGGAAUUGUCUCGAUAGAUCAAAGUUGCUUUCGUCUUGUGUCGUCUUGAUGGCAUAAGAUGAACCAUGAAGCUGUCUCUUUGCACUGCAUCGUUAAUGCAUGCGUUGAUGUUGUGGCCCAUUGAGCAUUGCUUGGUACCUUGGAUACGGAACCUUAUGUGGGCAUGGGUCCCUAGGGAUCCUUGUUCUGCCCUCGUUUAGCGUUCGCGCUUCUCUUAGAAUGACUGCCCAGCCGGAAUGGGAAGCCAUUCUGGAUGGGCAUCGUCAAAGAGGAAUGC
rnacentral:misc_RNA from 1 species